rnacentral:rRNA from 1 species
UAACACGUGGGGAACCUGCCCCAUAGUCUGGGAUACCACUUGGAAACAGGUGCUAAUACCGGAUAAGAAAGCGGAUCGCAUGAUCAGCUUUUAAAAGGCGGCGUAAGCUGUCGCUAUGGGAUGGCCCCGCGGUGCAUUAGCUAGUUGGUAAGGUAAAGGCUUACCAAGGCGAUGAUGCAUAGCCGGGUUGAGAGACUGAUCGGCCACAUUGGGACUGAGACACGGCCCAAACUCCUACGGGAGGCAGCAGCC